rnacentral:rRNA from 1 species
UACGGGGGGAGCAAGCGUUGUUCGGAUUUACUGGGCGUAAAGGGCGCGUAGGCGGCGCAACAAGUCACUUGUGAAAUCUCCGGGCUUAACUCGGAACGGUCAAGUGAUACUGCAGUGCUAGAGUGCGGAAGGGGCAAUCGGAAUUCUUGGUGUAGCGGUGAAAUGCGCAGAUAUCAGGAAGAACACCCGUGGCGAAGGCGGCUCUCUGGGACGGUACUGACGCUGAGACGCGAAAGCGUGGGGAGCGAACAGG